UCCUUUUUUCCAAGCAUAUAUGUUGGCAAUGCGUCAGCUCCCUUAGCCAAUGGGAGGAUAGUUUUAGGUAGCCAAUGAGAGAUGAGGAACUGAGGAAAUAUUCCGAGCGCUGGAAUUGAAAGUGUUCGACGUUCUAUACUGUGGUUAUUCGUAGUUUCCUUGAAUUUUCAGCUCAGCAGAUUCGACAAUAUUUUGUGGAUGGAACUUGCGGCGAAAUAUAGGAGGAUGGAGGCUCCAGUCUUCAUACAGUCAUCCUGAUCCUAGUUUUCCAUCAUCUCUCAAAAUUAAUUCAGGAAAUUCCGGAUGGUUCCUACUAUAUGGCCACAGCCAACUACCUGUUCCAUCCUUGUCAUACUAUAUCUCAUCCUCAGUCCAAAGCAUAAAUCACAAGCCUAAGUCCUUUUCUUGACAACACAAGCAAGACAAUUCUGCAGCCUAGAGCUAUGUGUUGCUUUAGACUAUAUCAACAGGUGGUGUGUUUGCACAUGCCACAAGUGUUGUUGCUCUACAGUCCCACUUUGAAAGCGAUCACAGCAACAAAGCCACAGCAGCCUUUGGCCUUAAAUAGAUUGGGCAUACUGCAUAAGGGGAACCUAACAAUACUGUUGAACACAAAAUACUUUUAUUGUGUAUUUUGUGAUGGCAGUACCACACAGCUCGUAAGCAUUUGUGAAAACACCAUUGUUCCACCACCAAGAGAUCAUCAUCAGUUAUUCUGUAUAUCAAGGGAGAUAACUCCUUAAAUGCAUUUCAUAUGUAACUGUCAAUACAAUGCAGUCUAAUGAAGUGUUUCUGUUACCUUGUACAACAUUCAGUCAAUUCAUAUUAGCUAUAAACCAUAUGGAACUAUUGUUUUAUCACUUAGUGUACUAAUUUUCACUGU